UUUCUGAGCUGGCUUUUGAAGGUUCUGGUGGCUCUUCUUCACUCUCCCAUACGUUUCUGUAAUGGAGUUUCACUUCAUAUAAAGGAGCAGUGGUGAUGGUGAUAACAGUUACAGGAGUUCGGUGGUAUUAGUUGUGGUUGUUGUGUGAACUCAACCUCCUUUUCAGUGAUUCUGGUUUGUGUGUUUUGCAACGGAUCUGGUUGUGUUCCGGAUUGGAAGUUCAAUGGUCGGGUGCCUGGUUAAACUUAUACCGGAGCGGAAGAUCGACGGUGUUCUUAUUGGUGGCUUAUUUUCUUUGGAAAUUUAUCUUUA
rnacentral:lncRNA from 1 species